GACGUAGGGCGCGAGCGUUGUCCGGAUUUAUUGGGCGUAAAGAGCUCGUAGGCGGCUUGUUGCGUCAGCUGUGAAAACCCGCAGCUCAACUGUGGGCUUGCAGCUGAUACGGGCAGGCUUGAGUUCGGUAGGGGAGACUGGAAUUCCUGGUGUAGCGGUGAAAUGCGUAGAGAUCCGGAAGAACACCGGUGGCGAAGGCGGUCUGCUGGGCCAAGACUGACGCUGAGGCGCGACAGCGUGGGGAGCAAACAGG
rnacentral:rRNA from 1 species